CUGUUUCUUGACAAAUCUAACAUUUUAUAUUCACUGUAGGGCAGAAAGUCUUAGAAUUUGAGCACAUCGAAUACACAUAGAAGUUGUAUGUGUAUCUGGUUAUUAGAGGCAAAAAGCCUUUGGAAAUCAUGGUAUCUCUAGGGGAAGUACGAUACUGGACACUUAGACGUAGUGCGUGAUGCGUUAAUGGUCACAUUUAUUUCUGAUUUCUUCUGUACUUCCUUUGGGGGAAGAUGGGAUUUCUAAGAUUAGAUGUUUUUAGAUGGAAUAACCGAGAAAGUGGCUAGAAAUGUGGACGGUUAUUAGGGAAUAUCUGUGUAUCUCAUUUUCAAUGUUGUAAUGUGUCAUUUUGCUUAACGAUUUUUGCUAACAAUGCAACCAUGGAUCAUAUGGAUUGUUAAGUUCGCGCACUGAAAAGUCUUUGACAAGAGAAGAUUUUGUUUGGUCUAUUAUUAUUAUUAUUAUUAUUUUAAUUUUAGACUAAUGAAAUGAAUUCUUAGACUAAAAAAAAGACAUUGAGCACUAGCAACACAGUUGUUUGGUCUAACUUUGGUGGUUUUGUAUCAGCAGACGAAGAGAUUAAAAGUUGUUUUUGAUGGAAAUUGGAUGUCGAGAACAUUACUGAAAAUUCGAGAGUUAAUAUUCGUAAAAAAAGGUGAAUUCGUAAAAAGACUGAAAACUAUUUAAGAAAUAUUGUAAAACUGCGAAAGAAAUUACGGAUAAUAAAAAAAAUGAAAAAUUGAUAGACUUUAUGUUGAAGUUUCGCAUAAAAAAAGCCAAAAAAAAAAAUAUAGAAAUGAGUCAUUGUUUCAUCGUUAAUGUUGUAAUAAUUUAUAACGAACGUUAAAUUAGUUACAAUAUCAUGUAUAUAUGCAAUGCAAAGCAUUGAACAAUGACAAGAGAGAAGACCGGCGAUAACUUUAAAAGUUGUAAUAAGAACACUCAUUUUCCCAUCUCCAUUCAACAUACCAAAAACAAAAAAAAAAAAAAGAACACUCAUUUCUAAAAUAGGCAGCAAAUCAAUAUAAAGUCAAUGGAAGAAUAAAAAUGUGACAGUUUCGUGCACAAAACAAUACAGAAAAUUUUUCCUUAACUAGAAGAAUUGUAAAAUGUUUAUUAAAACGAUUAUAAAUUACCAAAGAUAAUAAAGAUAAGAUAAAUGUAAGCUAGUUGUGCUGCUAAAUACGCUUAUUGAUUUGGAUGCGUCCUUUCUAUUACGUGGAACGUGGUUUGAUUUUUUUUUGAUAUGUAAGUUGAAUCCAAAUAAGUAUAAGAUGAACAAGUAAGUUUUGAUCACAUCUAUAUAAAGAAAAAUUUAUUCAUACUUAACCGUGCGAGUCCCAAGCAGCGCGAUCGCGCUGUUCAGAUUUUAUGUCGAGAAAACCCAGCACAUUUCGAGCAAUGUGGACAACUGACGGUGCGUUACGUAUUGUCGAAGUCGAGCUCUCAGACUUACUGACGCAAGUAGAUCACACAGCUCCUUUUAACGUAAAUAGUAUUUUACAAUAGGUGAAAUAGUACUAUAAUAAUGUGCUUACAGAUUUUUUUUUCGAUUAAUCAUACCUAUUUAGAAAUGCACCAAAUUUAGAAGAUUUAAAUAGUAAAUCGAGAUUUAUUUUUCACUUACUUUGUGCGUUGCUUCGUCUAAUCACUUUAAAAGACACAAUUAUUAAUAAUGAAAAGAAUUAUUAACUGAAGAAUACGGAAGAAUACGUCCGAUCACUUCGCAAACUGCAAUAAAAGUGACGGAGCGAUGAAAAAAUGGUAUUUCUCGACAUAAAAUUACACAAGUGCUAUCGCGCUGCUUGGGUAUGUUCGUACAUAUAUAGGGAAAGCGCACUGUUUGGGAUUCUUCGACAGUGUUUUUUCAAUGCCGUCUGGGACUCAAACGGUUAAUAAUUCAAAAGAAAUCAAUUGAUCAGAGCAGAGCCUCAUAAACUGAACGCAACUUCGCAGGGAGAGUGAAAUUUUCCACAUUUAUUCUACGAAACAUUCUUCUCUUAACGUGCAAAAAUGGGAAAAAUCGGCCAUGACCAAACAAAGUUAUAAAGGAUUAAAUUUAAUUUUUUUCACUUUUUUAAGCUUUUAUGCUUAUAUAUCAUAACGCAAACAAAACAAUGUCUAAAACUACUUUGUACAUUCCUCGGUAGACGCCCUGAUUAAUUCUUUCUUAAUGAUAUUAUCGAUAUGGCUUUCAAGUAAAAGAACUUGGGAAUUGGAAUGCGAAAAGCGUAUUGGUGGGUAUGCGAGAUUCGGGCCCUGAUAGAUAUAAAUUUCUUAUUUGCUUUUUGUUACUGUUACUUUUGUCAUUUUUACAUUGAAUUAACAGAAAUAUAUGUAGUAAACAAAAGAACAACGAUUCCGAUCAUUCUUAAACAUACGAUUAUAAUAAAUGUUGUUGAAAUGUGAAAGAAGAAAAUUGAAAUAAAAGAAGUUUUUGAAUAAAUGAGAGGAAGGUAGGUUGGAGAGAUCUUCAGGACCAACUUCGGCUGCCCCCAUAAACAUCAUGGCCCGGAGGAGAUAAUUGAGCAGGCCAAGGUGAAGGAAGCCUUAGGACUUGGGGUGUGCUCUUUCAGAACCCAAGUUUCGUCCGUCCUUAUGUUUGUUUAAGGGUAGGUAUGUGGUAUUGUUUUAGGUGUAAAUAUUUGAGGAGUGUCCGAGAGGCAAUACAAUAAUAUUUUAUUGUUAAUAGAGCUUAUAAAGUUUGGGUUUUUGAGGAUUAACGUUGCAAUUAUAACCAAUUAAAAGUAGGAAGUAAACUAAUGUGAAAAUUUUUUCUUUUUUUGGUUACUUAGUGAUGUGAGAAAAACGGAAAUGAGGAGGUAAUGACCUAGUGACUGUGUGCCCAAUCAACACGUUUUGUGGCUAAAAUGACUGAGCGCUCAGUAUAGCUAAGGGCAAAGCAAACUUUACUACGCUGACAUUUGCACCCGUGACCAUUGACUUGAUAGUCGCGAUUCUUACUUAUUCAGCUACUCAUGUGCAUUGCGGUCUGAAGAAUAGAUUAAAUACAUGAUUAUAGUUUAUAUCGUUAUUGGAAAUAAAGUGUCGGUAUCGUAUAUACAGAGAGUUUUCGGAGUGAGCCAGAAGCGUUUCGUUGCGGGAGUAAGUCAUCCGUUGAAUGAUCACAGUAAAUGCAGACCUUUUUUAACCUUGCGUUGUCCAGGAAAAAUAAAUUUUUCAUAUUUGGUGGAAGAUCCGAAAUUUCGAUAAAGAUUUUCUUGCUCAGGGAUUUUUAUGUUCUUAAUUUACGGGCGCAUUUGACUGUCUUACUAGGGCACACUGAGACAGCUAAACCGCUUAGAAAUCAAAACUGGGCAAUGUAUUUCUCUACGGGGAUGUGGUAAGAGGGAUUCAUCUGCAAACCGUUUAUUAGGAAAAUUAUAAGGGAUGACUUACUAAGGUGAUUGGAAAGCAUGUGGAGAGAGGAAGAACGAUUGCUGUACUUACUGCAUAUACAGAUGAUUUCUUUAUUCUGAUUAAGAUUCCCGAUUGAAAAGCAAGUCAGGAGUGCAGUAAGGAAAGGGGCUGCUAUGCGGUGUUGCGAUGUUGGUGUUAGAAUAUCGUCGGACAAAAUUCUGACUAUGCUACUAAAACAUAGCCUUUCGUUCAGUACAUGUACGGUGGUCUUAAUUGCAUCUAAGUGCAUUAUAUCACAAUUAGCAUCACUGGAAAGAGCAGGUACGUUUGAGAAUGUUUUAGGACUGGUUUGCCGUGUUUAUUACCCGUUCAAUUUACGGCCCACUCGUGUGGAAGUCGGAUCUCACGUUUUUUGUCGGAGUGUCUGCCGUUUUUAAUACCAAUUCACCGGCGCCUUGCAAUUAUUGUUGGUUGUAGCCUCUUUGCACUAUAGUAAUACCUUAAGGAUAACAAGAAGUUGACCCUUACUUGGUUGGAACGCAUCCCUAUCUAAUGGUAAUCUCGUUGGGCAGUAAACACUAACGGAUAUGAAAUAAACUGGUUUGAUUAAAAUAAGUUUCAAUUAAAUGCCUCCGGAUUUACUGUUAACAUUUGUUUAAAGGGGACCAAGAAACUGCAGGUUCUCAUCUAUAAUACAAAAAAACACUUACUAGGUAAUCUAUACAGCGAACGUGUAAAAAAGAGACAAAAUGAGGAGAAUUAAAGAAAUCGCGUGGCAGCACACACAUUGAUGUACGUAGGUUCAAAAGCCAAAUCGUUUGAUUUUAAAGAUUUUUAUAUUUGGCAUCGGUAUGCACAUAUCUGGUUGAGCGUGUGGUUGUUUGCCGUCAUAAUGGCCGCGUAUUGACAAUUCAUUGCAUUGGCGGUGUUGCACGUUGCAGAUUUGGGUUUAUAAGGAUCAUGUAAAUUAAAAACGCAAGGGAAGUCCUAAAACAAUAACAAUUUACGACAGGCGUAACGUGAAUACUUUCCUGGAAUAUGUAAGCCGUUGCUUGCAUAUAUAUACGUCAGUAUACUUCGCAAGGUGUGUGCACUCGCACCUAUAGUUGCGGUGAACUACAUAGCUGCGAUACGUAGACGUUCGUGUGGUGUUUUUAUGCUACAAACUGGAUGACGAAAUUAAUGAAUACCCAUCAUGGUUUUACUAAUAGCCGCCUUUUUUAGCAACAACAACUUUCCGGAUCAUCAAGAGACCAAUUUAAGCAACAAUCCGUUGCCAUAAACACGAGCCAAGAUCCGUGGAUGUCUAUCAUCAAUGCAAAUUUGGAGAAUAACAAAGCAUAAUAACAAUCAGCCGUGGGCAAGGAAAGCAGCAGUUCAUUCCUGCCAUAAAUCUAUGUAAAAGAGGAUAAAGUUUCGAACUUGGGAUCACUAGAAAUUUCGUCGAGAUCGUCGGUUGGAUGGGCCGAAUGGGAUUGUAACAACAUCACAAACUUUUUUGUUCGCUUAUGGUUUCUUCAGCUAAUUUGAUGCGUUCUGAUAUAAUCGUUAAGAUUAAUGCCUUUAGAUCAUUUGAUGCACCUAGUUUCUUUCAGUAUGAGAAAGAAAAGAAACUUUCGUAAUCAACUGGUGUCAUUUCUCGCUGUAUCAAGCUGACAACCAGUCCCACCAGGAGGUGGAAGGAUAAGGAUAUAUUAAUAAUUUGGUUGAAGAGGAAUGGAGGCCUAAGAGGUAAGCGUACGUGACAUAGCUGAGCUAGAGAGAUGUAGGAGAGGUGCUCUGUCUUGCUCAUGCACACUCCUAGGACGCUUACAUAAAAAAAUUUGCACAUAAUUGCUUCUUUAUCGAAUACCCGAUCAACGAAACUCUAUCUAAUCGAGGCAACGGAAUUGACCCUAGGCUUAUUCUUCAUUCACUCUGCCUAUUAGUCUUCUUUUAGCUUCAAGAAUUUGCAAUGGGGAGACCACGAAAUUUAGUUCCGAAGACUCCUCAAAGCCUACUUUCCCCUCAUGGUUGAAUAGAAUUUACCACAUUUAUUUUUUAUCUUAUUAUUUCACCCAUUCGUUUAAAUUACUUUACUAACAUUAACACAUUUUUUUUCUUCUUUUUCCUUCUCCCUCUAUACAAACAAAAGAACUACUCAUAGCACUUACAUUAUUAUAUACUUAUAAUCAAAACAUAUAUUAUAUUAUACACUAAUAAACAAUAUAAUUAAUUAUGUUAUAGGUAUGUAUAUAGAAGAGAGAAAAGAUUUAUAAUACUCUUAACAUUACAAAAAUCGAAUGCAUAACCUGUUAAUACUAGUGUUGUACGGUGUGUUGAAGUCUCCUCAAUUUCGUUGGUAUACCAUUGACGCCGGUUUUACUUGGUUUUGCUGCUGUAUUCAUAUUGUUGAUUGGUUUCACUGUUUAGUGUUGUUCUUCAUAUACAUUUUUGAUUGUUAAAAGUUAUAACGUAUGUCUUGAGUAAUGUAAGUUAACAUGCAAACAAGGUGAACCUUCGUUGAAACAAAAUUUCAUGAUUUCGCGGAGUUUACAUUAACCUUGAAUUGCAGGAAUUCUUGAUGACAGUGGAGACUUCGAAUGAUACUUUUAUUUUCUUUUCUCCCUAGCAACUUUUAACGAAUUCCUCAAGUUAGGUUAUUUAUAAAUUAUAAUUUAUAAAUUAUUCAUUUCUAUAAUAAAAAAAACAAGAUUUGCCAAUACAAAUUCGAUGCAUACAUUUCGCGUUGUUUUUAUAUUUCAUCUGAAUAACAUAGUGCUUUACACCAUAUAAUAAUAUCCCUCACAUGUCACACCUUGUCUUUAUUUACAUGUCCGCAUAUUCUGCCGGGGUUUUUUUUUUUUUUUGUUGUAUUCAUCUAAAAUCAGCCUCUGUAGCGUUAUGGCUCUGAUUUAUUUUAUUUUGCUUACUGCUAUUUAAUUUAGUUUAUGCAAGCUUAGCAUAUUACAAAACGUUAUCCCGUUUAUAAUAACCUAGUUUGACAUAACUGUAAUUUUAAGCAUCAAACUCGAUUUAUCAAAUACACUAAGCACAAGCGAGUUACGAUACAAGUUUACUUAUAAUCAAUAGUCAAAAGCUCAGUAGUCAGUAAGAAAUUGUCAAUAAAGCGAAAUACAACAAAGUAAUAAACAUUAGCAAAAUAAUUUAUAGUGUUUUACGGCAUGGCGAUUGGGGGAGCACCUACGUUAUGGCCUGGCGAGUUCCGAGUGCUUUAAAUAUGAGUGCCCUAAACUUCUAGGACGAAUUUUAGUGGAACCGUCUUAAGAAGUGUAUUUUGAGGCCAGCAUCGAAAAAUCAAGAACAUUAACAUUUAACCAAAAGAAAAGCCUUUCAAAAAAAAAGGGGAAUUUUUUUGUUCUCCAAUAAUUUAACAGAAUUUAAAUGGAUAUAUACACUAUCCUUAUUGGCUUAGUCCAGUUAAUAUCACAAAAAAAAGACAACGAACUGAGUAAAACGAUGUUGAUAAUAACAAUUCUCUGUGAAAUAGAGGUGCAAGUUCUAAAAAUGCAAUAAUUAAUCGUGCAUCGAAGCAGGAACCAAAUUGCCAAAAGUAAUCAUGGGAGGUCCAGAUGCUUCGCCUAAGGAACCGAAAAUAUAAUCUAAGGAAUAUACCCAUACACAAGUAUAUUAAAACCUCAACUAUUAGUUACAAGAGAAUAAUACAACAACAACGACAAAACAACAAGAAACGAACAGAUAAACAAAAUAUAUUAAUAGUUAAUGUAAGAGAUAUUUUAGAACCAGGAUAUGAGUAAAUUGUAUAAGAGCUUACACAUACACAAGCAAAUAGUAAGUAUAAGUAUUAACAAACAAAAAAGAGAGAACAGAUCCCUCCCUCACAGAAAGCCAACAUCGCAAAGCCGACAAUCAGGCAACCAUCUUUCAUGCCAAAGCAUUAUGAACAAGCCAUGCCUUUGGGCGACGACGUCGACUAUCAAGAAAUAUUUGAAGAGAAAAGAUGUAGACAAAUUUUGAGGCAAGUACAGCAUUCACCCCAACAAAUUAACAAAUAAAGAAAAUCUUAUCUAUGGAUUGGGCAGCCAUACUGUAGCAAUACGAAAGCAAAAGCAAUUCGAUCAAUCAUAGAAAUGUGUCAGUAAUAAUAGAUUCGCAAGUACGGAAACAAUGAAUGUCGAAUGAGUACACAAAAGAAUUAGACGGCCUAACCAGGUCUUUGGAAGGAGC